rnacentral:rRNA from 1 species
AUGCACCACUUAAUCUUCUGCGCGCCAACCAAGCACGCCGCCCGCCGCCGCGCUCCCCGGAAGCGAACACCACCACACCCCACCACCGCGCGCCCUGGAUCCUCAACCGCUGCCUAUUUCUAUUUCCUCCCCCGCGGACCACCACCAAGCUCCACACCGCAAGCCAAGCAACCUCGUCCGGCCGCAGUUGACCGUCACAACUCAGGCGAUAAGAGCAGGUUGACCAUGUUGGCGAGGCUCAUGGCGCGGCUCCGCGGCGGGGACAACGGGGGGCGCCGGGCCUGCUACGGCAUCGCGGCGACGUGCGCGUGGCUGCUCCUCUUCUGCGUGCUCGCCGUCGCCCUACGCAGCGCCUGGAAGGCCUUCGCGUUCGCCAGCCUCGCGCUGGUGGCCUUCGGCGCCGUCGACCACUUCGCGCCCGACAUCUGGUGCGCCGGUGCGCCAAGGGACGACGCGGGCGGGUCGGAGCGACACCAGUCCACGGCGGCUUCCGUGGCGGCUCGACGGUUCGGGCUCGGGCGUGCCGCGAUCGACGCUCUGCCGACGUUCGCGUAUGGUGCCAAGGGCGGCGGCGACGACGUCGACCUCGAGUGCGGGGGUGACAGCGCGUGCUCGGUGUGCCUGGAGGACCUGCGGGCCGGCGAGCUGGUGCGGCGGCUCCCGGCGUGCAGGCACGUGUUCCAUGUGGAGUGCAUCGACAUGUGGCUGCACUCGCACCGGAGCUGCCCUCUCUGCCGGUGCGACCUCUCGCCGCCGCGGAAGCUUGUUCCCAAAACGCCAACGGUGGAGAGUGAAACGCCUGUUGAGGAUGCUUUGCCUGCGGCGGCGGUUUCAGAGACGGGACCGCCGGCUGAUGAUCAUGAUGCUUCGCCGCCGGUGGUGACAGUGGAGACGAAACCGCCUGCUGGUGUUUUGCCGACGGUGUAG